rnacentral:rRNA from 1 species
GACGUAGGGCGCGAGCGUUGUCCGGAUUUAUUGGGCGUAAAGAGCUCGUAGGCGGCUUGUCGCGUUGUUCGUGAAAAUUUACCGCUCAACGGUGAACUUGCGGGCGAUACGGGCAGGCUAGAGUACUGCAGGGGAGACUGGAAUUCCUGGUGUAGCGGUGAAAUGCGCAGAUAUCAGGAGGAACACCGGUGGCGAAGGCGGAUCUCUGGGCCUUACCUGACGCUGAGGCGCGAAAGCUAGGGGGAGCGAACAGG